UCGGCCUAGCCGCGCUCUACGCACCGGU
rnacentral:piRNA from 1 species